GGGUUGUGAGGUUAAGCGACUAAGCGUACACGGUGGAUGCCCUGGCAGUCAGAGGCGAUGAAGGGCGUGCUAAUCUGCGAUAAGCGCCGGUAAGGUGAUAUGAACCGUUAUAACCGGCGAUACCCGAAUGGGGAAACCCAGUGUGACUCGUCACACUAUCAUUAACUGAAUCCAUAGGUUAAUGAGGCGAACCGGGGGAACUGAAACAUCUAAGUACCCCGAGGAAAAGAAAUCAACCGAGAUUCCCCCAGUAGCGGCGAGCGAACGGGGAGGAGCCCAGAGCCUGAAUCAGCAUGUGUGUUAGUGGAAGCGUCUGGAAAGGCGCGCGAUACAGGGUGACAGCCCCGUACACAAAAGCGCAUGUGCUGUGAGCUCGAUGAGUAGGGCGGGACACGUGGUAUCCUGUCUGAAUAUGGGGGGACCAUCCUCCAAGGCUAAAUACUCCUGACUGACCGAUAGUGAACCAGUACCGUGAGGGAAAGGCGAAAAGAACCCCGGCGAGGGGAGUGAAAAAGAACCUGAAACCGUGUACGUACAAGCAGUGGGAGCNNGUGACUGCGUACCUUUUGUAUAAUGGGUCAGCGACUUAUAUUCUGUAGCAAGGUUAACCGAAUAGGGGAGCCGGAGGGAAACCGAGUCUUAAUUGGGCGUUAAGUUGCAGGGUAUAGACCCGAAACCCGGUGAUCUAGCCAUGGGCAGGUUGAAGGUUGGGUAACACUAACUGGAGGACCGAACCGACUAAUGUUGAAAAAUUAGCGGAUGACCUGUGGCUGGGGGUGAAAGGCCAAUCAAACCGGGAGAUAGCUGGUUCUCCCCGAAAGCUAUUUAGGUAGCGCCUCGUGAAUUCAUCUCCGGGGGUAGAGCACUGUUUCGGCUAGGGGGCCAUCCCGGCUUACCAACCCGAUGCAAACUGCGAAUACCGGAGAAUGUUAUCACGGGAGACACACGGCGGGUGCUAACGUCCGUCGUGAAGAGGGAAACAACCCAGACCGCCAGCUAAGGUCCCAAAGUCAUGGUUAAGUGGGAAACGAUGUGGGAAGGCCCAGACAGCCAGGAUGUUGGCUUAGAAGCAGCCAUCAUUUAAAGAAAGCGUAAUAGCUCACUGGUCGAGUCGGCCUGCGCGGAAGAUGUAACGGGGCUAAACCAUGCACCGAAGCUGCGGCAGCGANNUGGGUAGGGGAGCGUUCUGUAAGCCUGUGAAGGUGUGUCGUGAGGCAUGCUGGAGGUAUCAGAAGUGCGAAUGCUGACAUAAGUAACGAUAAAGCGGGUGAAAAGCCCGCUCGCCGGAAGACCAAGGGUUCCUGUCCAACGUUAAUCGGGGCAGGGUGAGUCGACCCCUAAGGCGAGGCCGAAAGGCGUAGUCGAUGGGAAACGGGUUAAUAUUCCCGUACUUGGUGUUACUGCGAAGGGGGGACGGAGAAGGCUAUGUUGGCCGGGCGACGGUUGUCCCGGUUUAAGCGUGUAGGUGUGUGUUCCAGGUAAAUCCGGUUCACUUUAACACUGAGGCGUGAUGACGAGGCACUACGGUGCUGAAGCAACAAAUGCCCUGCUUCCAGGAAAAGCCUCUAAGCAUCAGGUAACAUCAAAUCGUACCCCAAACCGACACAGGUGGUCAGGUAGAGAAUACCAAGGCGCUUGAGAGAACUCGGGUGAAGGAACUAGGCAAAAUGGUGCCGUAACUUCGGGAGAAGGCACGCUGACACGUAGGUGAAGUGAUUUACUCAUGGAGCUGAAGUCAGUCGAAGAUACCAGCUGGCUGCAACUGUUUAUUAAAAACACAGCACUGUGCAAACACGAAAGUGGACGUAUACGGUGUGACGCCUGCCCGGUGCCGGAAGGUUAAUUGAUGGGGUCAGCGCAAGCGAAGCUCCUGAUCGAAGCCCCGGUAAACGGCGGCCGUAACUAUAACGGUCCUAAGGUAGCGAAAUUCCUUGUCGGGUAAGUUCCGACCUGCACGAAUGGCGUAAUGAUGGCCAGGCUGUCUCCACCCGAGACUCAGUGAAAUUGAACUCGCUGUGAAGAUGCAGUGUACCCGCGGCAAGACGGAAAGACCCCGUGAACCUUUACUAUAGCUUGACACUGAACAUUGAGCCUUGAUGUGUAGGAUAGGUGGGAGGCUUUGAAGCGUGGACGCCAGUCUGCGUGGAGCCGACCUUGAAAUACCACCCUUUAAUGUUUGAUGUUCUAACGUGGACCCGUAAUCCGGGUUGCGGACAGUGUCUGGUGGGUAGUUUGACUGGGGCGGUCUCCUCCUAAAGAGUAACGGAGGAGCACGAAGGUUGGCUAAUCCUGGUCGGACAUCAGGAGGUUAGUGCAAUGGCAUAAGCCAGCUUGACUGCGAGCGUGACGGCGCGAGCAGGUGCGAAAGCAGGUCAUAGUGAUCCGGUGGUUCUGAAUGGAAGGGCCAUCGCUCAACGGAUAAAAGGUACUCCGGGGAUAACAGGCUGAUACCGCCCAAGAGUUCAUAUCGACGGCGGUGUUUGGCACCUCGAUGUCGGCUCAUCACAUCCUGGGGCUGAAGUAGGUCCCAAGGGUAUGGCUGUUCGCCAUUUAAAGUGGUACGCGAGCUGGGUUUAGAACGUCGUGAGACAGUUCGGUCCCUAUCUGCCGUGGGCGCUGGAGAACUGAGGGGGGCUGCUCCUAGUACGAGAGGACCGGAGUGGACGCAUCACUGGUGUUCGGGUUGUCAUGCCAAUGGCACUGCCCGGUAGCUAAAUGCGGAAGAGAUAAGUGCUGAAAGCAUCUAAGCACGAAACUUGCCCCGAGAUGAGUUCUCCCUGAGACU
rnacentral:rRNA from 1 species